rnacentral:rRNA from 1 species
CCUACGGGAGGCAGCAGUGAGGAAUAUUGGUCAAUGGGCGCAAGCCUGAACCAGCCAAGUCGCGUGAGGGAUGAAGGUCCUAUGGAUUGAAAACCUCAUUUGUCGGGGAGCAAGGCACGCCACGUGUGGCGGGAAGGAGAGUACCCGAAGAAAAAGCAUCGGCUAACUCCGUGACAGCAGCCGCGGUAAUACGGAGGAUGCGAGCGUUCUCCGGAUUUAUUGGGUUUAAAGGGAGCGUAGAUGGGUUGUUAAGUCAGUUGUGAAAGUUUGCGGCUCAACCGUAAAAUUGCAAUUGAUACUGGCAGCCUGGAGUACAGUUGAGGUAGGCGGAAUUCGUGGUGUAGCGGUGAAAUGCUUAGAUAUCACGAAGAACUCCGAUUGCGAAGGCAGCCUACUAAACUGCCACUGACAUUGAUGCUCGAAAGUGUGGGUAUCAAACAGGAUUAGAUACCCGGGUAGUC